rnacentral:rRNA from 1 species
UACGUAGGGGACAAGCGUUGUCCGGAUUUACUGGGCGUAAAGAGUGCGCAGGCGGUCGAUUAAGUCGAGUGUGAAAGCCCCCGGCUCAACUGGGGAGGGUCAUUCGAUACUGAUCGACUCGAAGGCAGGAGAGGGUAGUGGAAUUCCCGGUGUAGUGGUGAAAUGCGUAGAUAUCGGGAGGAACACCAGUGGCGAAGGCGACUACCUGGCCUGUUCUUGACGCUGAGGCGCGAAAGCUAGGGGAGCAAACGGG